UCCCUGAUAGCUCAGUUGGUAAAGAAUCUGCCUGCAAUGCAGGAGACCCCGGGUCGAUUCCUAGUUGGGGAA
rnacentral:tRNA from 1 species